rnacentral:rRNA from 1 species
GGCGACGGGUGAGUAACACGUUGGAACCUGCCCCAAAGUAAGGGAUAAGCCACCGAAAGGUGGUCUAAUACCUUAUAGUAUCCAUCUCGUAUGGAUUAAAGCUUUAUGCGCUUUGGGAGGGGCCUGCGUUUGAUUAGCUAGUUGGUGAGGUAAAAGCUCACCAAGGCGACGAUCAAUAGCUGGUUUGAGAGGAUGACCAGCCACACUGGGACUGAGAUACGGCCCAGACUCCUACGGGAGGCAGCAGUAAGGAAUCUUCCACAAUGGGGCAACCCUGAUGGAGCAAUACCGCGUGCAGGAUGAAGCGUUUCGGCGUGUAAACUGCUUUUAUCACCGAAGAUUAUGACUGUAGGUGAAGAAUAAGGACCGGCUAACUACGUG